rnacentral:rRNA from 1 species
ACGCUGGCGGCGUGCCUAAUACAUGCAAGUAGAACGCUGAAGGAGGAGCUUGCUCCUCUGGAUGAGUUGCGAACGGGUGAGUAACGCGUAGGUAACCUGCCUGGUAGCGGGGGAUAACUAUUGGAAACGAUAGCUAAUACCGCAUAAUAGUAGAUGUUGCAUGACAUUUGCUUGAAAGGUGCAAUUGCAUCACUACCAGAUGGACCUGCGUCGUAUUAGCUAGUUGGUGGGGUAACGGCUCACCAAGGCGACGAUACAUAGCCGACCUGAGAGGGUGAUCGGCCACACUGGGACUGAGACACGGCCCAGACUCCUACGGGAGGCAGCAGUAGGGAAUCUUCGGCAAUGGACGGAAGUCUGACCGAGCAACGCCGCGUGAGUGAAGAAGGUUUUCGGAUCGUAAAGCUCUGUUGUAAGAGAAGAACGAGUGUGGGAGUGGAAAGUUCACACUGUGACGGUAUCUUACCAGAAAGGGACGGCUAACUACGUGCCAGCAGCCGCGGUAAUACGUAGGUCCCGAGCGUUGUCCGGAUUUAUUGGGCGUAAAGCGAGCGCAGGCGGUUAGAUAAGUCUGAAGUUAAAGGCUGUGGCUUAACCAUAGUACGCUUUGGAAACUGUUUAACUUGAGUGCAAGAGGGGAGAGUGGAAUUCCAUGUGUAGCGGUGAAAUGCGUAGAUAUAUGGAGGAACACCGGUGGCGAAAGCGGCUCUCUGGCUUGUAACUGACGCUGAGGCUCGAAAGCGUGGGGAGCAAACAGGGUUAGAUACCCUGGUAGUCCACGCCGUAAACGAUGAGUGCUAGGUGUUAGACCCUUUCCGGGGUUUAGUGCCGCAGCUAACGCAUUAAGCACUCCGCCUGGGGAGUACGACCGCAAGGUUGAAACUCAAAGGAAUUGACGGGGGGCCCGCACAA